UGUGUCAAUUUGCAGUCUCUGUUCCCUCAUUCGUUCCAGCAACUCAAUUGUUUUGGCUUCACUCGAGAAAGAUUCCCUACACUCCAAGAUGUACAUCUCCAUGCACGAUAUGUAUGCGUAGGCUCCACUGAAAGUAGGAUAUUAAUAUAUUUGAAUCUUCUGGAACAGUUCUUUGGCGAUCAGUCCACUGGUAUUUCAUUGCUGUUUCUGGGCCAUGCUUAGUUUAUGCUGACAUCGGGGUACAACAAAAUGACCACAGAAAUCGGUUCUUACUUGCAUCCCCUCUGCAGUUGUCGAGCUGUCCUGGCCUGGGACCACGGUGUCAUCAUGUCCAGACACCGUGCUACAAGGGGCGUGGCGAGGUGCUCAUCACACUGGCUUAAGGCCGAACCUGGUGGUAACAUACAUAAUUCACUGAUGGGUGUCAAGAGGCGGUUGGAUAGCCCAGUGGAUAGCCUAGCGUUCGCUCGCCACGCCGAAGACCCGGGUUCAAAUGCCCACAUGGACACAAUGUGUGUAGUCUAUUUCUGGUGUUCCCCGCCGUGAUAUUGCUGGAAUGUUGCUAAAAGCGGCGUGAAACCAUACUUACUCACUCACUUGUCAAAUUGAUCAUAUAUGUACGGCACUUCAGUCAAUGCAAACGAAUUUGCUUCCCUUGUCUAUAGAUGCGUAUUAGUGCCAAUUUCUUAAACAUAUCAUCUACAUACUUAUAUUAAAUAAUGCUAUUAUAAUAUACUUAGAAGGUAUCAUCUUCUUUCAAAGUAUCGACUUUUGUAACCAUAAUUUCUCGAGUAAUCAACAAUAGUUUUGUGUUCGUAGCCUGUGACUCUACAACAAUGACCGACUGGCUUAAAUUAUAAUGGCCAAUAUACCUUUACUUUCAACUUUGAUGUGUCUAUUGAGGUACUAUUAGAACAUUCAAUAACGUAACAUAUUUGA